rnacentral:misc_RNA from 1 species
GGAAGUAAAAUCGUAACAAGGUUUCCGUAGGUGAACCUGCGGAAGGAUCAUUAAUGUGUUUGGGCCUCACGGCUCUUCAUUCCGACGCUGUUCGCCUUCGGGCUGCACGCUGAGGGAGCAUAUAUCCACCCCUGUGCACACACACGGUGGCGAGCUGGGUAACGGCUCGCCGCUGAUCUUUACACACGUCUAAAAGUCAUUGUAUGUUUAUUUGAGAUAAAAACACAACUUUCAGCAACGGAUCUCUUGGCUCUC